GACGAAGGAUGCAAGCGUUAUCCGGAUUCAUUGGGUUUAAAGGGAGCGUAGGCGGCCUUGUAAGUCAGUGGUGAAAUCUCGCAGCUUAACUGCGAAACUGCCAUUGAUACUGCAGGGCUUGAGUACAGAUACUGUGGGCGGAAUAUGACAUGUAGUGGUGAAAUACAUAGAGAUGUCAUAGAACACCGAUUGCGAAGGCAGCUCACAAAACUGUAACUGACGCUGAGGCUCGAAAGUGUGGGGAUCAAACAGG
rnacentral:rRNA from 1 species